GACGGAGGGUGCAAGCGUUAUCCGGAAUUAUUGGGCGUAAAGCGUCCGCAGGUGGCAGUUCAAGUCUGCUGUCAAAGACCGGGGCUUAACUUCGGAAAGGCAGUGGAAACUGAACAGCUAGAGUAUGGUAGGGGCAGAGGGAAUUCCUGGUGUAGCGGUGAAAUGCGUAGAGAUCAGGAAGAACACCGGUGGCGAAGGCGCUCUGCUGGACCAUAACUGACACUGAGGGACGAAAGCGAGGGGAGCGAAUGGG
rnacentral:rRNA from 1 species